CCUACGGGUGGCAGCAGUGAGGAAUAUUGGUCAAUGGCCGUAAGGCUGAACCAUCCCCGCCGCUCGCCUUCCUCCUUCUCUCUUUUUUUUCCCCUUCUUUUCUCUUUGACUACAGGUAUCCACGUGUGGAUAUUUGCAUGUACCCUAUGAAUAAGCAUCGGCUAACUCCGUGCCAGCAGCCGCGGUAAUACGGAGGAUGCGAGCGUUAUCCGGAUUUAUUGGGUUUAAAGGGUGCGUAGGUUGUUUUUUAAGUCAGCGGUGAAAGUUUGUGGCUCAACCAUAAAAUUGCCGUUGAAACUGGAAGACUUGAGUGUGUUUGAGGUAGGCGGAAUGCGUGGUGUAGCGGUGAAAUGCAUAGAUAUCACGCAGAACUCCGAUUGCGAAGGCAGCUUACUAAGCCAUAACUGACACUGAAGCACGAAAGCGUGGGGAUCAAACAGGAUUAGAUAACACGGUAGUC
rnacentral:rRNA from 1 species